rnacentral:rRNA from 1 species
AGUGAACGCUGGCGGUAGGCCUAACACAUGCAAGUCGAACGGCAGCACAGUAAGAGCUUGCUCUUACGGUUGGCGAGUGGCGGACGGGUGAGGAAUACAUAGGAAUCUACUUUUUCGUGGGGGAUAACGUAGGGAAACUUACGCUAAUACCGCAUACGACCUACGGGUGAAAGCAGGGGAUCUUCGGACCUUGCGCGAUUGAAUGAGCCGAUGUCGGAUUAGCUAGUUGGCGGGGUAAGGGCCCACCAAGGCGACGAUCCGUAGCUGGUCUGAGAGGAUGAUCAGCCACACUGGAACUGAGACACGGUCCAGACUCCUACGGGAGGCAGCAGUGGGGAAUAUUGGACAAUGGGCGCAAGCCUGAUCCAGCCACACCGCGUGAGUGAAGAAGGCCUUCGGGUUGUAAAGCCCUUUUGCUGGGAAAGAAAAGCAGCAGGUUAAUACCCCGCUGUUCUGACGGUACCCAAAGAAUAAGCACCGGCUAACUUCGUG